CACGUAGGGUGCGAGCGUUGUCCGGAAUUAUUGGGCGUAAAGAGCUCGUAGGCGGUCUGUCGCGUCUGCUGUGAAAACUCGGGGCUUAACCCCGGGCCUGCAGUGGGUACGGGCAGACUAGAGUGCGGUAGGGGAGAGCUGGAAUUCCUGGUGUAGCGGUGAAAUGCGCAGAUAUCAGGAGGAACACCGGUGGCGAAGGCGGGUCUCUGGGACGGUACUGACGCUGAGGAGCGAAAGCGUGGGGAGCGAACAGG
rnacentral:rRNA from 1 species